AAUCUUGAUGCUCUAUAUAACCAAAGCAUCCGCCUGAGAACUACGAGCACAAACGCUUAAAACUCUAAGGACUUGGCGGUGUCCCAAACCCACCUAGAGGAGCCUGUUCUAUAAUCGAUAACCCACGAUACACCCGACCACUUCUUGCCAAAACAGCCUACAUACCGCCGUCGCCAGCUCACCUCUUCUGAGAGCGCCACAGUGAGCACAAUAGCCCUAACCCCGCUAACAAGACAGGUCAAGGUAUAGCCUAUGAAGUGGAAGAAAUGGAAUACAUUUUCUAGCUUAGAAAACUCACGAAAAGGGGCAUGAAAUAGCCCCUAGAAGGCGGAUUUAGCAGUAAAGCGGGAUAACAUAAGCCCCCUUUAAGCCGGCCCUGGGGCACGUACACAC
rnacentral:rRNA from 1 species